AGCCCAAAACAUGGCUCAAACGUUUCAGCCCAUCCAUCCCGAAUAUCCCUAAACAUUUGCAAACCUAAUUUCUAUUAAAAAACAGCCGCACGUUAUUCUUCUCCACAUCCAUUCUCAGUAACGUUCCAAAAAAUUUUCAACCCAAAAUCAGAGGAGGUCUCACCUUUUCGGGAAAGACCUCAGAUAUCUAGUGCUAAGAACGCUCUUUGACUGAAGGAUGAAUUCGGAUUGAGUUCGAGGUUGGAGCACGUCGGAUCUCAGACCUCGCGCCCCAGUUUCACUGCACCCGAAAAAGGUCAGUCCUUUUCAUUAUGUCAUUAUUUUUCAAGUUGUAAUUAAGAUGUAAAAAUCUGAACUCAUUCUUUAUUCUUGCAUUGUUAACAUGGACUUUCAAUGUCCGAAAUCUCUUUGCUUAAGUCCUCUCAAUAAAUGUUUGUUAAAAAUGUGAAUAUUCAUAUGUGUUCAUAUUCAGGAAAUUAGUGUAGGGAUUUCUUUUAUAUGCUUACAUUGCCACCUAAUUAAAUACUUCAUGGAUGUGAAUUUGGUCUUAUCAUGAUUGAGGGGGUCAUUUCCUUUGUGGUGCUACAAAAACUUUGGCCGAAUGUGUAGCCUAUGUUUUUAUCUUACUCAUAUCUUGGAAAGUAUGUUCAUCUUUGAGUUUUAAAAUGAAACAAAGAAAAAAACCUAUUCAUGCCCUUUUGUACUUAAUAUAUGCUUAGAUAUUAGGAAUUUAGCGUUAUGUGCCGCCUUGUUGGAAUUCCUGCAUUUAAAAAUCCUCUCCUUAUGAAUCUAUUUAUUUUCUCAUCAUCGACGAGUAUUGUCUGUAUUAGAAAUCAUGUUUCAUCACCUCUGUUUAAUUAAAAUAGCUCUAAAAUGAGAACUUGACUAAGGUAAUGUAUUCUCAUAGGUUUUCACAAUAUUAGUUGUUUACAGAGUACAUAUCAAUUCAAUGGAACCCUUGGUUUUAGUUUAGUUUAGAAAAUGACUUGAGUGAUUAAUUAGCAGCAUCAUGCUAAGAAGCUAUUGUACCUUUUCUUUUGUGAAUGAAAAACAGAGUUAUUUGCGUAACUUUAAAGAAUGUGUUCCAGGAUCCCCUUGUUUUUGUUUGAAUGAUCUGUAUGUCUUAAUAUUUAUAAGGUUUGCUUAUUGCAUUUGUUAGAAUGAAUCAUUUUGAAUCUAUGCUCAUUUAAGUAUUUAAGCUUGCCUAGUUGAAACUAUAAUAUGGAGCUCACUGAUGGUUAUCAUGCUUAAAAUUGAAUCGGUGUGUGCUCAUUUUGGGACUGCGAAAGCGGAGGAAUCUGAUGUGAACUAUAUUUGCCUAAACUUGCUGUGAUGCGGAUUGAUACUAUAGAAGGGAAAUAUGCAAAUAGAAUUUCCUUCAUUAUGGGAAUUUUCUUCUUUACACUCUUAAAUAUUUGAAUUGUCUCAUUAAUUUCUUAUUUUCCCUUCCUUUUGCAUGUACACUUUGGGAGUAACAUGGAGUCUUUCAUGAAAGGCUCUCACCGCUGCAUAAGUCCCUUGCCGCCAUUAGAUAUGGAAUCCGCGUCUUCUUUUCAGUCACUUCUCUCGUUCCCUCGAAACUCAUCCGAACAAAAAUUGCAAAGAGGGACGAGAGGAAGUUUGGAACACAUAAUUAUUUCCUCAUUCAAUUCUGUCCCUCUCUGAAAAAACAUCCCAACAGGAGCGAGGAAAAGAGGGGAGAAGAAAAGAAUGACUCUUGCAUUUUUCAAACUUGUUAUAGGAUUUAUUAACUGUUUGUUCUCUGAUUGUGUAUGUGUUACACUUAAGAUUACUAGUCUUCGAAUACCUAAUUUAGAGGGGAGGUGCAAUUGGUACAUUAUUUCAGCAGCUAUCGAAAAGUAAUAUUUUCUGAAA